ACACACAUCAAUCAUCACCAAACAUCACAUAGAUCUCAUUUUUCACCCCAAAUCAAGGAAAGAAAAAGAAAAUUUUUUGAAGGGUAGAGACCCUAAAUUUUCGAAAAUUUGAGAAAAAAGAAGGGGUGAUUUUCUUGCUUCAAUCUUCCAUAAAUACUCACAUAUAUCAUCAUACAAGUUAUAUCUAUGGAUUUAAAGGUCACUUACCCAAACUUACACCAAAACUCACACUUUCUCUUUCUAGCUUUGAAACCAAUCUUCAAGGAUCCUCUUGAAUUCAAUGAGAUUGAAGGUGUUUAGGCAAGAUUUAGUGGUGGAUUAGUGUGUUUGGUAUGAUUUUAGGAAGCUCCGAAGGUCUCAUUAAUGGUUGACAAUGGUGGAAAGUGAGAGAUGAGGGAGAGAGGAGGUGGUCGAAUUUGAUGGGUGAAGGAGAGAGAGAAUUGCUUUGCAAGAUUGAAU
rnacentral:lncRNA from 1 species